rnacentral:lncRNA from 1 species
AGAGAUUCCAAUAUGUAAAAUGUCAUUUUGAUUAGAUAAUGAUGACAAACAUCAAUGCUCAAAUUUGAUAUGUUCAUAAAUUUCCCUAACAUCUAUUUUUAUUGGUUAGGGACAAGUUGCCUAUUCAUAUUAUUUCUAGCAACAUAAAACAUUUUUGAUGAAUAGAUUAAACCAAGACUCAUGCACUAAGUGAUCAGUUUAAUGCAAGCCUUAACACAAUAGUGAAUGGAAACAAUCAGAGGGUAAACCUUAUUUGUAUUUAGUUAAUAAAUCUCGACACCUUAGCAUCCUAGGCUCAACAAUCGGCUAAUCAGACAUAAGUAGAAAAACACAAAGAUGAUAGAUGAAGAUAACAUACUGAAUCGAUUGCAAAAAAUAAAAUAGGGUUCCUGGUUUCUUCUCCAAAUGUUGAGAGAUCCUUCUUCCUUACAAAGAAGCAAAUCGCAAGUCUCCUUUCUCACAGUGUGUAAAAACUUAGAUGUCUCUCCUAAAAAAAAAAAAGGUGAUUUAUUGCAGGUGGCAGAAGUUUGGAAAUUUCUUUAAAAAUCUCAAUCUUCGGAGCGGUUGGUCAUUUAUUUAAUUGGGUGCUCCAUUAUGAAAUCUCCAAAUUUCACUCUUUUUUGCAUGCUUUCCUCCAAGUUAUCCACAUUCCAUCUACACCCUACACCAGAACUGUAAUGCCUCAAAAAUAACUAAAAUUACUCGAUAAAAUCUCAAAAAUGUUUUAGAAAACUAUGUACAAUGUGUGUUAAAAACACAAUACCUAAUUCCCUCAUACUUAGAUCCUUGUUUGUCCUCAAACAAAUUCAGAACCUAAAGAAUGAAACUAAGAUUUAAAAAAGCAAAAAAUCUCAAAUUCUCAACAACCAUAAUUCAACCACAAAUCGCACACCCACACAAACAGUAUAACCAACAACACAACCUUACUUAAACCCUA